AUUGAACGCUGGCGGCAGGCUUAACACAUGCAAGUCGAGCGGGGUGAUGGUGCUUGCACUAUCACUUAGCGGCGGACGGGUGAGUAAUGCUUAGGAAUCUGCCUAUUAGUGGGGGACAACAUCUCGAAAGGGAUGCUAAUACCGCAUACGUCCUACGGGAGAAAGCAGGGGAUCACUUGUGACCUUGCGCUAAGAGAUGAGCCUAACUCGGAUUAGCUAGUUGGUGGGGUAAAGGCCUACCAAGGCGACGCUCUGUAGCGGGUCUGAGAGGAUGAUCCGCCACACUGGGACUGAGACACGGCCCAGACUCCUACGGGAGGCAGCAGUGGGGAAUAUUGGACAAUGGGGGGAACCCUGAUCCAGCCAUGCCGCGUGUGUGAAGAAGGCCUUAUGGUUGUAAAGCACUUUAAGCGAGGAGGAGGCUCUUUUGGUUAAUACCCAAGAUGAGUGGACGUUACUCGCAGAAUAAGCACCGGCUAACUCUGUGCCAGCCGCCGCCGUAA
rnacentral:rRNA from 1 species